rnacentral:lncRNA from 1 species
GGUAUAUGUAUAUAUAUAUAUAUUUAGGUAUAUGUAUAUAUAUAUUUAGGUAUAUGUAUAUAUAUAUAUAUGUAGGUAUAUGUGUAUAUAUAUAUGUAGGUAUAUGUGUAUAUAUAUAUAUGUAGGUAUAUAUAUAUGUAGGUAUAUGUAUAUAUACAUUUGUGUGUGAAAGUGUGUCUGUGCAGCCAAAACAAUAUUUCAUUGUUUGUAACAAAAGAAUUUGUAUAUGUAAAACAAAAUAUAUAGUACAUAACUUGUUCUAUCACUAUUACUGAUAAUGGUGGUGGUGGUGGUCGUGGCGGUGACUUUAGUAGAGGUGGUGGUGGUGGUUGUGACAAUGAUGAUGACGACGACGACGAUGAUGUUGAUGAUGGUGAUGAAAAUUUUGAUAAUAAUGAUGAUAGAGGUAAAGUGACGGUGAUAAUUAUGAUAAUAAUGAUGAUGGUGAUGAUGAUGAUGAUGACAUUUAUACAUGCCUCAAAGGUCGUACAGAUUCAGUCAUUAGAAUACACUGCAACACAUGCAAAUAAAUGAACAUAUAAAAUAAUGAUGAUGACAAUGGAGGUGGUGAAGUUGGUGAUGCUGAUGAUAGGAACUGAAAGAAAAAAGAACGACAAUGGAUGUAGAAAAGAAUACAACAUGAAAAAAAAAUCACAGUGAAAUAUAUAUAUAUAUAUAUAUAUAUAUAUAAUUGUAUGAUGCACACACAGAUGUGUACAUACAUGCACUUACAUAUACAUACAUAUUAGCAUACAUAUUUAUACAUAAAAAUAUAUGCCCGAAUUCUGUAAAACUGCCGGCCUCAAAGAUCUGUUCUAAUAAUAUCUGUGUUCCACCACAGACUAACAAUGUGUACAAUAUUACUUUAUUAGUGCCAACGAAGUUUUACCUCUUCUAUUCCUUAUUUAUUUUCAUCAAGUUUUUUUUUUAUUAUUAUUAUUAUUUUCCUGAAAUGAUCUCUAAAAUUUUCAUCAGAUCUGGUAAACAACACUUUUUUCUAAUAUGAGGAUAAAUCCAAAUGUGUAACUGAAAAAAAAAAAAAAAAAAAAGAAAAAACAAAUUGUUGUUUUUCUUUAUUUUUGUUGUUUAUUUAUAUUUUUUGUAAUUACUUUAUUGUGAAUGGG